CAUGCAAGUCGAACGAGAAAGUCACUUCGGUGGCGAGUAGAGUGGCGCACGGGUGAGUAACGCGUAGAUGAUCUACCCUUCAGUCUGGGACAACUCUUGGAAACGGGAGCUAAUACCGGAUAAAACCUUCGGGUUGAAAGCUUUAGUGCUGGAGGACGAGUCUGCGUACCAUUAGCUUGUUGGUGGGGUAAGAGCCUACCAAGGCGACGAUGGUUAGCGGGUCUGAGAGGACGAUCCGCCACACUGGAACUGAGACACGGUCCAGACUCCUACGGGAGGCAGCAGUAGGGAAUAUUGCGCAAUGGGGGAAACCCUGACGCAGCAAUGCCGCGUGAGUGAAGAAGGCCCUCGGGUCGUAAAGCUCUUUUAUGGGGGAAGAUGAUGACGGUACCCCAUGAAUAAGCACCGGCUAACUACGUGCCAGCAGCCGCGGUAAUACGUAGGGUGCGAGCGUUGUUCGGAAUUACUGGGCGUAAAGGGCGUGCAGGCGGAUUGGUAAGCCGGAGGUGAAAGCCCGGGGCUCAACCCCGGAGGGUCUUUCGGAACUGCCAGUCUUGAGAGGGUCAGGGGCCAGCGGAAUUCCUGGUGUAGAGGUGAAAUUCGUAGAGAUCAGGAGGAACACCGGCGGCGAAAGCGGCUGGCUGGGGCCACUCUGACGCUGAGGCGCGAAAGCGUGGGGAGCAAACAGGAUUAGAUACCCUGGUAGUCCACGCCGUAAACGAUGGGCACUAAGCGUCCGACGGGUUCGACCCUGUUGGGUGCUGCAGUUAACGCGUUAAGUGCCCCGCCUGGGGAGUACGGUCGCAAGACUAAAACUCAAAGGAAUUGACGGGGGCCCGCACAAGCGGUGGAACAUGUGUUUAAUUCGACGCAACGCGAAGAACCUUACCUGGUUUGACAUCCUCGGACGACACCAGAGAUGUGUUUCUCUCGGAGACCGGGUGACAGUGCUGCAUGAUCGUCGUCAGCUCGUGUCGUGAGAUGUGGGUAGUCCGUACGAGCGCACCCUGUCCUAGUGCCAGCACGUCAUGGUGACUCUAGGGAGACUGCCGGUGACACCGGAGAGGUGGGGACACGUCAGUCAUCAUGGCCCUACAGCACUGGCUUACACACUGGCUAUCAAUGGGUGUGUACAAGGGGUGGCGGCAU
rnacentral:rRNA from 1 species